CCUGGAUAUGUUUCCAGCACUAAUGGUUGCAUGUGGUUAGUGGAUGCUCUGAGGAACAAGCAUUUUCACUGCCCAAGAUUUAAAAAAAAAAAAAAAAUUCAAGUAUAACAAAAAUGGAGACUUUGAGAGAAAAAUCAGAAAGCAGAUGAGGUUUAGGGAGGAGAGUGUUCUCAGGAGGAAGUGUUUCAGUGUUGAAUGUUGAAACUGGUGUCAGGAAGACAAGUUCUGGAGACCUUGCAUAAGAAACAGUUCAACCGCUGAGGUACCUGUAUCAUCCAGUGGAGGAUUUAUACUCUGGGUUACAUGGAGAGUGAACACAGUGUCUCUGACACACUAGAUAAGUACUUGACCACUGAGACAACCAGCUGGCCUCUCUACCUUUCAUUUUGAGACAGUAUCACUGUGUAUGUAGCCCAGCAUGCCUUGAGUUUGAAUUCUACCUCAACCUGCUAAGUCCUGGGAUUACAAUGUGCUACCAACGGGGAAUUUUUUUAAAGCCAAGGGUCUUGUUCAUGUCUAGAAGCAAUGGACAGAGGUAUGUGAGCAUGGCAAAGGCUCCCAAGUCUGUGUACUGCCCCCUUCUUGUUUUAGCUAGACGUCCAAAUCCUUCCACCCAUGGGCCCGUGGGUGUCCUCUGGCACCCAGAGCCCGAAUGCCUUAACUGUCUCCCAGUUGCUCCCAGUCUCAUAGUCUUCCAUUUCACUCCAGUUUUCCAGUGACUAAGGCUGGAGCACUUAGUCAUAUGGCGUCACGGACUCUUCCUGGUCAGUCAGGACAUGCUUGUUCCAUUGUCUCUAUAGGUACUCGUUUGUUUAAAAGGUUAAAAAGUGAUUGCAUAGUAUUUCAGACAACACAAUAUGAAGUAUGGUGAUACCCUCCCUCCACCUAACUUAAUGAAAACUUGGACAUGUAAGCACAGCACUUAGGAAACACAUUUAAAUCUCAUUUUUCUCUCACAUUUAUUUAUUUAUUGUUUGUACUUUAUGCUAUAGCACAUGUCAUGGUAAGGUGACGACUUGAGGGACGGUCCCUCCAUCAUGUGGAUUUCUGUGACGGAAGUGCUGUCAGAUUUGGCUACAAGCCCUCCUGAUCUGCUAAGACAUCUGGCUGGUCUUCGAUUUCCUCCUUACCCGUUUAAAACUUAGCAUCUUGAAGACUUACAUUCUACAUAUUCUGAACCAACUCAGCAUAGAUGAAGAAAAUUCAGAGCUCAAAUGCCCAACUACCCAGACAGUACUGACAUUUCCAGUUUGAUAUGAACAUUUUUUUCUCCUGAAUGACUGCAAGACAUUAAGGAUGUGAAAGGAAGGAGUGUUAACCUAAAUCACUAAGUAAAGAAAAUGUACCUAAGCACUCCCAGGGGAAGGAUACUUGGGGUGAGAUUUACCAUUUUAAUAAAUGUUGGCAUUGUUGACUUAUUUUCUUAGGUUAAGAAGCAGGGAGUUUGUGUGUGCAGCAAACUAAUUUUAAAGGGUGGCUGUGCCUGACUGAAUAAAAUAUAACUAAGCUUGCUUUGAUAUCACUG
ensembl:lncRNA